GACGAACCGUGCGAACGUUGUUCGGAAUCACUGGGCUUAAAGGGCGCGUAGGCGGGCAAGCAAGUCCGGGGUGAAAUCUUUCGGCUCAACCGGAAAAGUGCCUUGGAUACUGCUUGUCUGGAGUGAGGUAGGGGCCGCGGGAACUUCCGGUGGAGCGGUGAAAUGCGUUGAUAUCGGAAGGAACGCCGGUGGCGAAAGCGCGCGGCUGGCCCUCAACUGACGCUGAGGCGCGAAAGCUAGGGGAGCAAACGGG
rnacentral:rRNA from 1 species